GAACGCGUGUAGCAAUACACGAGUGGCGCACGGGUGAGUAACGCGUGGAUAUCUGCCUUUUGGUUCGGAAUAACCCCGGGAAACUGGGGCUAAUACCGAAUGGUUCCUACGGGAUAAAGAUUUAUCGCCAAAAGAUGAGUCCGCGUCCGAUUAGCUAGUUGGUGAGGUAACGGCUCACCAAGGCGACGAUCGGUAGCUGGUCUGAGAGGACGAUCAGCCACACUGGGACUGAGACACGGCCCAGACUCCUACGGGAGGCAGCAGUGGGGAAUAUUGGACAAUGGGGGCAACCCUGAUCCAGCCAUGCCGCGUGAGUGAUGAAGGCCUUCGGGUUGUAAAGCUCCUUUGGCGGGGACGAUGAUGACGGUACCCGCAGAAUAAGCCCCGGCUAACUUCGUG
rnacentral:rRNA from 1 species